rnacentral:tRNA from 1 species
GUUUUGAUAGUUUAAAUAAAACUCCGGUCUUGUAAAUCGAAAAUGAAAUAUAUUUUCUCAAAACA